UACGUAGGGUGCGAGCGUUAAUCGGAAUUACUGGGCGUAAAGUGUGCGCAGGCGGCAGAGCAAGUCGAGUGUGAAAGCCCCGGGCUUAACUUGGGAAUUGCGCUCGAAACUACUUUGCUGGAGUGUGGCAGAGGAAGGUGGAAUUCCACGUGUAGCAGUGAAAUGACGUAGAGAUAGUGGGAGAACACCGGAAUGGCCGCAAGGCUGA
rnacentral:rRNA from 1 species